GUGCCUUCGGGAACGGUGAGACAGGUGCUGCAUGGCUGUCGUCAGCUCGUGUUGUGAAAUGUUGGGUUAAGUCCCGCAACGAGCGCAACCCUUAUCCUUUGUUGCCAGCGAUUCGGUCGGGAACUCAAAGGAGACUGCCGGUGAUAAACCGGAGGAAGGUGGGGAUGACGUCAAGUCAUCAUGGCCCUUACGAGUAGGGCUACACACGUGCUACAAUGGCGCAUACAAAGAGAAGCGACCUCGCGAGAGCAAGCGGACCUCACAAAGUGCGUCGUAGUCCGGAUCGGAGUCUGCAACUCGACUCCGUGAAGUCGGAAUCGCUAGUAAUCGUGGAUCAGAAUGCCACGGUGAAUACGUUCCCGGGCCUUGUACACACCGCCCGUCACACCAUGGGAGUGGGUUGCAAAAGAAGUAGGUAGCU
rnacentral:rRNA from 1 species